rnacentral:rRNA from 1 species
UACGUAGGGUGCGAGCGUUAAUCGGAAUUACUGGGCGUAAAGUGUGCGCAGGCGGCCGCGCAAGUCGAGUGUGAAAGCCCCGGGCUUAACUUGGGAAUUGCGCUCGAAACUACGUGGCUGGAGUGUGGCAGAGGAAGGUGGAAUUCCAGGUGUAGCGGUGAAAUGCGUAGAGAUCUGGAGGAACACCGAUGGCGAAGGCAGCCUUCUGGGCCAACACUGACGCUCAUGCACGAAAGCGUGGGGAGCAAACAGC